UACGGAGGGUGCGAGCGUUGUCCGGAAUCAUUGGGCGUAAAGGGCGCGUAGGUGGCGACCCAAGUCGAUGGUGAAAGCUCGCCGCUCAACGGCGAGUCGGCCACCGAUACUGGGUUGCUUGAGCACUGUAGAGGCUAAUGGAAUUCCGCGUGUAGCAGUGAAAUGCGUAGAGAUGCGGAGGAACACCGAUGGCGAAGGCAGCCCCCUGGGCUAACACUGACGCUCAGGCACGAAAGCGUGGGGAGCAAACAGG
rnacentral:rRNA from 1 species